rnacentral:rRNA from 1 species
UACGGGGGGGGCAAGCGUUGUUCGGAAUUACUGGGCGUAAAGGGCUCGUAGGUGGCCAACUAAGUCAGACGUGAAAUCCCUCGGCUUAACCGGGGAACUGCGUCUGAUACUGGAUGGCUUGAGUUUGGGAGAGGGACGCGGAAUUCCAGGUGUAGCGGUGAAAUGCGUAGAUAUCGGGAGGAACACCUGUGGCGAAAGCGGCUCACUGGACCACAACUGACGCUGAGGCGCGAAAGCUAGGGGAGCAAACAGG